ACCACCACGACCAUCACCACCACCACCACCACCACCACCAUCACCACCACUAUCAUCAAUAUCACCACCAGCUACCAGCUCUGCCCUACUAUUGUAUGGGUCAUCAGGGGUGCGGGUUUGAGCCCAGCCUCCCUGCCUCCCUGCCCUCGGGUUCACCGUCCUGAGUACCAGGGGCCUAGAGCAAUCCCGGGGGCUUCCCUGUGUUUCCCCCAAAGCCAGGUUCUCUCUCUCAAAGGGAGUGACCUUUGGCCUCAAAGGGGCAAUAAACUUACAGUUGACCUGGACAAAGAGCACCGCCUCAUCGUGGCCUGCCGUGUUCUCUGCCCUGACGGACACGCGGUAGAUGCCGGGGCUCUCGUAGCGGUGCCGGAUGGGCUCCCCGGUCAGUGUAAGGUUCACGUACAUGGCCUUGAAGCCGUCCCCAAGGUCUACCUGGUACUUGGUAGUCAGGACAUCACCCUGCAGAGAAACACCAUGUGGCCACUCAGGAGUGGGCCUUGAAGCUGAGGGGCCAGAGUGGUUCAUUCACUCACUCACUCACUCACUCAUUCAUUCAUUGCCGCCCUCCCUUCCUUGACAUGAGUGGGCUCUGGGGACCCACAGGAGACCGGGCCUGGUUCUGCCCUGGAGAUUCUUCCUGGAGUAUGGGGCUGACCAAGGCAGCUGGUUUAACUAGGGGCUGUGGCCAAGGGAUAUUUCAGAACAAUCACCCAGCGGCAGAGAGGGAGAGGGAGAGGCCCAAGGGUGUCAUCAGAGAGCAGCUGGGGGGCAGUCAGGGCCCGGGGGAGACCCACAGAGGCCCGUGCUAGGGAUGGAGCCAGGAAGGUGAGGGGCCUCCCACUGCGAGGAGGGUUUCGGCAGGGGAGAGGAACACAUCUGGAAGUGCCUAAGCCGCCUGCCUGGAAACCAAGCAGGAUUUUCCUUUCUGGGAAGCUGCGGUUCUUAAUUUUCUCUUUCUCAGACCAUGCGGUACCAGGAGUGACGCUGAGAUGGGGCAGGGUGAGUGCAGAGAGGAGCUCCCACCAACUGCCAUCCCCGCGUGGCACCGAGUCACCCAGAGAGGCCGCUCCACCAUCUCCUUCCACCUUCCAAUAACCGCAUUUCCCUCGCAGAGGUGGGGGAUUGAGUGAAGGAAACAGGAACUUCUUCGAUUUAUGGCUCAUGAUCACAUUCUCCCUCCCUCCCUUCCUCCUCUCCUCCCCUUCCCUCUUCCUCCCUCGCCGGCACCAGGGGCACGAGGAAACCGUUUCCUAGUGAUGAUGGAGGAAACAGCGUGAUUACUAACCACUUAGCCAUCUUCUCAGUUUAUACCAGCCAAACGUUGAGUGUUAUAUGAAUGAGUGGCACAGCAGGGGAUCAUGUGGGAGUGGCUUUUUUCACUCGGCAUAAUCCACUUGAGGCUCAUCCAGGUUGAAGCAGAAGUCUUCAUUACUCUGAUAUGACCGCCAUGAGUGCAAGUGCUCAGUCCUCUGGUCGUUGCAUGUUGAGUUCGUUAAGAAACUGCUGAAGUGUUUUCCAGAACACCUGUGGCAUUCUCCAGUCUCCCCAGCCAUGCGUGGAGGAGACACCCUCACCGUGCCUUCUGCGUGCCCAGUUGGAGCCGCCCCUGCCCGACAGUCCCAGGAGCCUGCUGGGAGGUGCUCACUCACCUGCUCCUGCCGCACCACAAACAGGACGUCCUCUCCAGGCCGCACGGCCACCGCCUCGCCUUGAAUGCUGACCUGCAGGCCCCGGGGCGGCGUGAGGGGGCACUGCAGCUGCACCUGACUCUGCUGCAUGUCCACCCCACCCUCACACACGUUGGACACCACUUUCCGGUACCUGGAUUGACAAGAGAGGGUCAGGGUCCGCUUCAGACAGGUGGCAAGGGAUGGGGCCCCAUAGUCUGGGGAGGGACGUGCUUGCCACCCAGAGGUGGCACUUGGCUUCCCACCCCUAGGACUCUACUUGCUAACUCCCAGUCACCUCCUGACUCCACCUGAUUGCUGUUACAGCCCCAUUUUAGAGAUGAGAACACUGAGGCUCAGAGGAAGAAGGACUGAUGGUGGCAGGAUGUGCUUCGGAGGCGCUGGCAUCUCCGUGGUCUGAUCAUAUUACUCACAGUAACAGUAACAGCCACCGUUAGUGCUGCAGAGGGGCUGUUUAAGCAGCCAGUUUCAAUUUCACGGUCUUGCUGAGAAAGGUGGAGGACAGAGUGCCCAAGAGGGCCUGGGGUCCUGCCUCCACCUCGCCACUGGCUCACAGUGUGGCCGUAACCAUGGGCACACACACCCCUCCUCCUGGGCUCCGUCUCCCUGUUCCCUUGAGAGAACUGGAUUGGGCGAUUCGUGACUAAUCACUGCGUUCAUGAGAAACCUAUUUACUGAGCAUCUAUUAUGGGCCAGGUAGUGGGAAUGGGGGUGAUCGCAUGCAGCCCCUAGAUGCUGUGCAGAGCAGACCCUCUAGUGGAGAGGCAGAGGCGGACCUGAGCAGAUCACGUCAGAGUGAAACCACAGCUGUGAUGGCGCUGGCUGGGGCAUCCCUGGGGACCUGGACCCUGACAAAGGGGCUUUCAGCGAGAAUGGGAGGAUGAGCAGGAGAAGAAAGAGCAUCCCAGGCCAUGGGAACAACAUGUGCAAAGGCCCUAGGGUGGGUCUGAGCCUGGAGGAGGAGCGGGUGUGGCACGAGGCUGGAGAGAGGCCCUGGGCAACCUUUUAGGAGAUCCCUAAAAGGGGUGGCCUCAUCCAGCUUGCUACUUGUGAAGCUCCCUCAGGCUACACUAUGCGUCUGUGAAAGUGGCAUUGCUGCCAAGGUGCUGGGGGUACCUGUCUCCCCAAGGCUGAUCCCCCCUCUUGCCCUCAGGGCCAAAUUCUCCCAGAUGGCUCUGCCACUGAAUAAGCAUUCAGAAGUUGAUCAUGCACAGGCCCAUUUCAUUAGUGCUUUGAAAGAAAAUACCCUUCUCUAAGGGCCACCCACCCAUGGCACCUACAGCGUGCAGAUGGUAUGAGAUGAAAUCCUUUGUCUUGAUCAAGAUCCUGGCUCUGACACUUCAGACAAGAGUCCCUGUUGUCAAGCCCAGGUGGAUGUGCAACCACUGCAGCUUCAUGAUACAUAGGUGCAUGGGUAGACAGAUGGGUAGAUAAGUAGAUGGAUGGAUGGAUGGAUGGACGGUGAAUGAAUGAAUAGAUAGAUGGUGGAUGGAUAGAUGGAUGGGUAGAUGGAUGGAUGGACAGAUGGGUGGGUGGAUAGUGGAUGAAUUGAUGGGUAGAUAGAUGGAUAGGUGAAUGGAUGGAUAGAUUGAUGGAUGGUGAAUGAAUAGAUGGAUGGUGGAUGGAUAGAUGAAUGGAUGGAUGGGUAACUGAAUGGAUAGAUGGAUGCAUGGAUAGUAGUUGAAUGCCUGGGAGAAUGGAAGGAUGAAUGGAAAGACGUAUGGAUGAAUGAAUGGAUGGAGAAAUGAACAGAUGAUGGCUAACUGGAUGAUGGGUGGAUAAAUGGGUAGAUGGGAGAUGAACGAGUGAUUGCAUGGAUGGGUGGGUGGAUGGCAGGAGACAUGCUGGUGAGGCCAAAGCCUGCAAUUUCUGGUCCUGCCUCCUGUUUCCUCAAGUUCCCUCAGGGGAAGUAAUGGGGAUUUUCUAACAAGCCCAAGGGCUUUUCUCUUCCUCUCUGAAAAAUGUCCUCAAAGAGAAAUGAGGAAAUUGGGACUUUCUGACGGAGCACGUUUGGGACCUCCUAAAGCUGAAGGCUCACAGCUUUUAUGUACCUAACAUUUUACAUGAAUUGAAUCCUUCAUAGCAGUAUGUCCAGCCUCUGGUGGAGGAAAAGCAUCGUAACUGCUUGCACUUGGUGAUGCCUUCCCCUCAUGCACAGCUUGUAUUCAGCAAACCACAGACUGAAGGAACACCUACUGUGUGUUGUGGAGCUUACAGUUCAGCAAGGAGGACAAUUAGGGCCUGCUAUGCACCCAUCUGUGAGGACAUCAAGGAACACCCACAGCCCCAUCCCAGAUGGGCACACAGGGUAACAAGGGAGGCAAAGGGAUGCUGUGAACUCAGAGAAACCUGGAGGGCUGCCUGGAGGAGGUGAGCAAAUCUCAAAGGAUGGACAGAGACAGGUAGGGAAAGAGAGGGAGAGGCACUGCUGGCAGGGCCCAGCCUGA
rnacentral:lncRNA from 1 species